rnacentral:rRNA from 1 species
UACGUAGGGUGCGAGCGUUAAUCGGAAUUACUGGGCGUAAAGGGUGCGCAGGCGGCUUCGCAAGUCAGGCGUGAAAUCCCCGAGCUUAACUUGGGAAUUGCGUUUGAAACUACGAGGCUGGAGUGUGGCAGAGGGAGGUGGAAUUCCACGUGUAGCGGUGAAAUGCGUAGAUAUCAGGAGGAACACCGGUGGCGAAGGCGGGUCUCUGGGCCGAUACUGACGCUGAGGAGCGAAAGCGUGGGGAGCGAACAGG